rnacentral:misc_RNA from 1 species
GAUGAAGAACGUAGCGAAAUGCGAUACUUGGUGUGAAUUGCAGAAUCCCGUGAACCAUCGAGUCUUUGAACGCAAGUUGCGCCCGAAGCCAUUAGGCCGAGGGCACGCCUGCCUGGGCGUCACACGUCGUUGCCCCCCCAUCUACUCCUUCGGGAUUGCGGGGGGCGGAUGAUGGCCUCCCGUGCGCCUCGUCGCGCGGUUGGCCUAAAUACCAAGUCCUCGGCGACGCACGCCACGACAAUCGGUGGUUGCGAAACCUCGGUUGCCUGUCGUGUGCGGUCGUCGCGCAUCGAGGGCUCGAAAAAAUUGCCGGGCUUCGGCUCGACUUUCAACGCGACCCCAGGUCAGGCGGGGUUACCCGCUGAAUUUAAGCAUAUCAAUAAGCGGAGGA